CGUUACUUGAUAGACACGGGUAUCACAUUAUAUUACUUCCUCUUUCCCGCCUCAAUCCCGAAGAGUCGAGGGCAAGUCUCUUUGGUUUUCUCCGGUGGUGCUCAAAGAUCUGGGUCGGAUACUAUUAGAAGGACAAGGUUGGAGAACUUUAUGUGCCAUAGUAGUCUUGAAAUCGAACUCGGCGAGUGGGUUAAUUUCAUUACCGGUUAAAACGGAAGAGGGAAGAACGCGAUACUGACUGAUUUAUGUAAAGCGUUCGGCAGCAGCGGUAGAGAAACUCAAAGCGCUUCGAAGUUGAAGGGAUUUAUAAAACUGUCUGCAGGUUUCUUCUUCUUCUUCUUCUUCUUCUUCUUUUGCUUUUAAUUGUUUGGCUUAGUGACGGGUAAUCUGUUUGAUAUAUCUGAUAUAUAUAUUAAUUCUCAAUUAUGCGACUGUUCAAGUGGAUAUUAAAAAUGAAGGAGUUGAUUCUUUUAAGCCAGAUAUUUUCGGCGAUACCAUUAUUAUAGAACGCAUGAUUACCGAUUCUACGAGCUCCACUAUUUUGAAAGAUUGUCAAGGAUUGAAUCAUUUUCUUCCGAAUUUUCUUUAAUGUCAAAUGUUCUGUAUGUGUUGUACUAAUUAUGUGUCAUGAGUUUCUUUUGAUUGCAGAUUGUAGUGCUAAAGUAGUUAAGGUAUUUACUCUAUCUUGUCUUAAAUCUGAGGCAUUUGACAGGUAGAAAAGUUGCCAGCCAGAAAGAGGACCUCCGUGAGCUGGUUGAACAUUUCAAUGCGAGUGUUUGGCCUAAGAAUUAAGCAUGCUUUAAGUUUCUUAAUUGCAGCAUUUUGUUGUUUUCUUGUUGGUACAUGAUCUGUCAUCCUGUACUUAAUACAAUACUUCAUUUUUUUUUUUCUGAAUUAGGUGUAUAUAACACUUGUUUUUUUUUGACCCAGUUUUAAAAACAAAUCAUUUUAUUAUAUGU